CGUCGAGCGUCUCGUGACAGGUACUUCCGCUCGGGGCGGCGGCGGUGGCGGAAGUGGGAGCGGGCUUGGAGUCUUGGCCAUAAAGCCUGAGGCGGCGGCAGCGGCGGAGUUGGCGGCUUGGAGAGCUCAGCAGAGUUCCCUGGAACCAGAACUUGGACCUCCCCUCUUCUGUCCUCCGUUGAGUCUCCUCCUCGGCGGGAGCCCUCGCGACGCGCCCGGCCCAGAGCCCCCAGCGCAGAGGCCGCGUUUGAAGGAUGACCUCUAGGAAGAAAGUGUUGCUGAAGGUUAUCAUCCUGGGAGAUUCUGGAGUCGGGAAGACAUCACUCAUGAACCAGUAUGUGAAUAAGAAAUUCAGCAAUCAGUACAAAGCCACAAUAGGAGCUGACUUUCUGACCAAGGAGGUGAUGGUGGAUGACAGACUAGUCACAAUGCAGAUAUGGGACACAGCAGGACAGGAACGGUUCCAGUCUCUUGGUGUGGCCUUCUACAGAGGUGCAGACUGCUGUGUUCUGGUAUUUGAUGUGACUGCCCCCAACACAUUCAAAACCCUAGAUAGCUGGAGAGAUGAGUUUCUCAUCCAGGCCAGUCCCCGAGAUCCUGAAAACUUCCCCUUUGUUGUGUUGGGAAACAAGAUUGACCUCGAAAACAGACAAGUAAGUACCAACGAUGAUAGAUAUUGUCACAGACACUUGCUCCCAAGGGGCCUUGUGAAUUUGGAGGGUUCUCUGCUAAGCUCACAUGGCUCUAGGAGGUGCUGGUGGGAGUCUUCAUCACCCUAUGCCAGCCCUUCAGGCCAACUGCCUUUAAGGACUGGGACCCAGGUGACCUGGGUUAAGUCCCCAUCCUGCUCCCAGCUGGCUGUGACUUUACGCCAUUGUCUUGGCUAUCUCAACUUCAGUUCCCUUUCUGCACUUUGAAGGAGGGAAUUCAGUUUUGUCAUUCUCAGUAGUGCCCUCCCAGUACCUCCAGGCCGUGCUUGGAUCUCCAUGUGUGCAGAAUAUUGCUUUGGGCUUUGAGUGAAAUUGCUGUACUAUAGUUAUAGUUUCAAAUAUCAUUUCUGUUGGAAACAUAGACUCUUUGAUUAAUUACGACUACGUUUAUUUCUGACCAUGGAUCUUUUUUCCUCCCCUUCCUAAGUGACUUAGUCCUUAUCUCUUGGCUGAAAAUGGGCUAGGGGUUGGGGAAGGAAUGAGAAUGUGAGAGUGGCAUGGGUGACAUCACACUAGCAGUAAUGGUAAAGGGACUCUAAACCUUAAGAACAAGCUGCUGGGCAUUUCCUGUCCUGGGAUCUCUGAGGUCCCAGUAAACACUCUUCAUUUCUUCCCAGACUGGCUUCUUACUCCAUUCACAAAUGGCUUUUAAGUAUAACUGAGGGUCAGAAGGUAUGAGCUGUAGACUGAGACAGGCUUUGAGCUCUCUAGCUGAAUCCUAGCUAUCCUGAGCAUAGCCAGCAGGGCGAGUUUGGACGGGUCUACUGGUCUCUUCCAACACCCUCUUUCCCCACAUCUGUGUCCUCACCUGUACCACCUGUAGACGAGGGACCAUGACACUUCCUGGGGAGGAUGGAGUCAGUGCUAGCUGCUUCUAUCAUGAGCCUGUGUGCACCCUACUUCUCCUUUCAGGUGGCCACAAAGCGGGCACAGGCCUGGUGCUACAGCAAAAACAACAUUCCCUACUUUGAGACCAGUGCCAAGGAGGCCAUCAACGUGGAGCAGGCGUUCCAGACGAUUGCACGGAAUGCACUUAAGCAGGAAACGGAGGUGGAGCUGUACAACGAAUUCCCUGAACCUAUCAAACUGGACAAGAAUGACCGGGCCAAGGCCUCGGCAGAAAGCUGCAGUUGCUGAGGGGGCAGUGAGAGUUGAGCACAGAGUCCUUCACAAACCAAGAACACACGUAGGCCUUCAACACAAUUCCCCUCUCCUCCUCUUCCAAACAAAACAUACAUUGAUCUCUCACAUCCAGCUGCCAAAAGAAAACCCCAUCAAACAUAGUUACACCCCACAUGUCACACACACACACACACACACACACACACACACACCCCUGACGUAAUCAAACUCCAGCCCCUGCCCGUGAUGGCUCUUGGGGUCUGCCUGCCCACCCACAUGAGCCCGCGUGUAUGGCAGCAGGACAGGCCAGCGGUGGAUGUCAUUCUGAUAUGGAGUUGGCAUUGGAAGCUUAUUCUUUUUGUCCACUGGAGAGAGAGAGAACUGUUUACAGUUAAUCUGUGUCUAAUUUUUUUUUAACGGUCUUGUGGUCUUUUUACCUCCCCUUUCCCCUCCCUCCUUGAAGGCUACCCCUUGGGAAGGCUGGUGCCCCAUGCCCCAUUACAGGCUCACACCCAGUCUGAUCAGGCUGAGUUUUGUAUGUAUCUAUCUGUUAAUGCUUGUUACUUUUAACUAAUCAGAUCUUUUUACAGUAUCCAUUUAUUAUGUAAUGCUUCUUAGAAAAGAAUCUUAUAGUACAUGUUAAUAUAUGCAACCAAUUAAAAUGUAUAAAUUAGUGUAAGAAAUUCUUGGAUUAUGUGUUUAAGUCCUGUAAUGCAGGCAUGUAAGAUGGAGGGUUGAACCCUGUUUGGAUUGCAGAGUGUUACUCAGAAUUGGGAAAUCCAGCUAGCGGCAGUAUUCUGUACAGUAGACACAAGAAUUAUGUACGCCUUUUAUCAAAGACUUAAGAGCCAAAAAGCUUUUCAUCUCUCCAGGGGGAAAACUGUCUAGUUCCCUUCUGUGUCUAAAUUUUCCAAAAGGUUGAUUUGCAUAAUACAGUGGUAUGUGCAAUGGAUAAAUUGCCGUUAUUUCAAAAAUUAAAAUUCUCAUUUUCUUUCUUUUUUUCCCCCCUGCUCCACACUUCAAAACUCCCCUGUUAGAUCAACAUCCUACUAUGAGAGCGAAAGGAAAACCCUCACAGAUCUGUCCUAGUGAUUUUUACCUUUGUUCUAGAAGGCGCUCCUUUCAGGGUUGUGGUAUCCUUAGGUUAGCGGAGCUUUUUCUCCUUUUCCCCACCCAUCUCCCCGAUAUUGCCCAUUAUUAAUUAACCUGUUUCUUUGGUUGGAACCCUGGCAGUUCUGCUCCCUUCCUAGGAUCUGCCCCCGCAUUGUAGCUUGCUUAAUGGAGCACUUCUCCUUUUUCCAAAGGUCUACAUUCUAGGGUGUGGGCUGAGUUCUUCUGUAAAGAGAUGAACGCAAUGCCAAUAAAAUUGAACAAGAACAAUGAU